UAUCUAUGUGGUUGUUGUAUUAUUAGGAAUUUAGAAAUUUUGUAGUAGUAAAGUAUUUUUGUGUAUUAUUAUUAGCAAAAGAAGAAUGAUAUUCACUACAAUAGAAUUAGAUUAUACGGACACAUUUUUGAAACAUUUUUGUGUAAGUGUCUCAUUUAUGCCUAAACUUUUUAAGGCCUAAAUAUAAAGUCCAAGCCAAUCAAAAACAAAAAAUUCUUUUACUCAACCAACUUCACCCAGCCCACUUGGCCUGCUUACAAAUAAAAAAAAAAAAAAAAAAUGAUCACUAUCUCCCCUUCUCCUCCUCCGCCGUCGCAACGGACGAGGUAGGAUUCUGGCAGCUGGAGUUCAGCCUCGAGGAUCUUGCAGGUGCCGUAGUAGGCUACGAUCGCCACCUGUCCCUUCGCUACAGGUUUCUGAAAAAGUGGGUGCCAAACAUCAAGACGACCUUACAUAUAGCGACCCCGUAUAUAACAACACUUUUAAAAAGUGUCGGUAAUUUGGCCAGCAGUAUUUUUUUGACCGACACCGAUAUUUAAAAGUAUCGCUGUACACCGUUUUUGUUGUAGUGAUUUAACGUACUUUUCAAAACUUCAAAAAUAUUUUAUAUAUUUCAAAUUGACCAAAUUACUCUUUUUAAUUUUCAAGAAUCCUUUCAAACAUUCCCAAACUCCUAGGCCCCACCCAUUUGGUUCAGGGAUAAAGCAGGAAUAAUAAAACUUAUCUCCGCUAUCCCGCCAAAUGGGGUGUUUUUAGCCUGGAAUAUUUUAUUUCGGUCAAACAUUCCUAUUUCCGGCUAUUCCAGAAUAGCUUGGUAAAUUAGGUAAGUUGAAUUAUUAUUUAAUCAAUAUGUUCUAUUAAUCAAUAUUUUCUAUUAAUUAAUUGGAUAAAAUAUUAUUAUAUUAAAAGUAUAAUUAUUCUUAUCUUAACUUUCUAAUCUAACCAUCCAAACGUUAAUUUUCUUAUUCCCGAGAAAAAAUCAGUUUUCAUCCAAACACAAAAUUAAUUUUAUUCCUGUUUAUUUCAAAAGUUUACCUAUCCCAGGGGUGCCCUAAAAUAUUUUAUUUCCGAACGAAAUGAUACCUAAGGUUUACUUAUGGGAUUUGGAGUUUAGAAAAGUAUUUUGGUAAUUUUAGAAAUAAAAUUAAAAAUUUUGAAUAGUAGUGAGGAGUAAAUAAG
rnacentral:lncRNA from 1 species